CCUUGCUUGUCACGAGCGGCGUCGCGCAAAUUAUCUCACCACCCAAUAGAUUCAUACGAAUGACCGAGACGACAGUCCCGUUGAGGAAGAGCCCAAUUAAUUCUCAUUCACUUAGCAGCGCGAUGCGACUCUUGAAUCUCUGUCGUUUACCUGCCGUUCACCUUGCGCAGCGCGCGAAAAAGGCGACCAUCGAUGGCGAGCCGCUGCGAGCGGUGAAGCUGUGCGCCGCGCGGUUACCAGGACGACGGGAGCGCGGAGGGUUGGACCAGCGGUGUGCGUCUCUCCAUAGGGAGAGGCGGCCGAGAUCCGGCCGCCGCCGCCGAGGGUUGCGCGAAGAGGGACGCACGGGGGACAGGGGUGUAUCCGGGGGUGGCUGUCGUCGGGAAUUUCGCAGAGAUGGAGUUUCUGCAGAAUCAUCACGCGGUCAACACCUCCGAGCCGCCGUACACCCUCGGCACAGGUUCGGUGGGUAGCAUCGAGGCGACGAUCCCGUCCGGGCUGUGCACGAGCGGCGGUCCAACGACGCUGAGCGUGCUCUCCGGCGACGAGGUCGCGUUAACUGCCGACGGCGGUAGCCAGCAGAACGAGGAGGCGGCGGCGGCUGCGGCGGUGGCGGCGGCGGCGGCCCUCGGCGCUCUGCAGGGCACGCUGCGUCUUCAGGAUCUGCAGGACGGCUCGCCGGCGGAUGACAUCGAGCAGCAGCAUCAGCAGCUCUCGAGUGCCGGUCAGGGCCAAGUGAGCGAGUUCGGCGCGAGUUUCUGGGUCGACGACAUGGCGGGCUUUCCGUUGCCCCCGCUUGACCUCGAUCCGCUGCCGCCUGGCCUCUUCAGCCCGUGUUCCGGCACGUACAACUGGGGCUGCACUCGCGGCGAAUGCGUGCCGAGGGGCGCGAGCAACGGCCCGAACGGCGAGGGUGUCGCCGACGUCCUGCUGUCGCUCAAGCACGCGGUGGUGCAUCCUGGCAGCCCCACGGCGGGGUAUUACUCCACCGGCCCGUCCGCCACCACUGCACAUCACUAUUCGCCGCAGGACUAUGUGCAGAAUUUGGGACCCGGCUCGGUGCCGCCGGUCGGCGCCCAUUAUGGCGCCGCGCCGGCUAUGUCCGUCAACGUCUCCAUGAACAUGACGAUGAACAUGAACAUGCACUCCGGGUACGAGCAGAGCUAUUCGUCGGCAUGGGGCGUGGAGCCACUUUUGAGUCCCGCCCCGCAGUACAAUCCGGUGGAGGCGGCAGCGCAGACGAGGGUGAAUUCGGCCGCGCCGGCCGCCGCCAAUAGCUUGAUCGCCGGUGGCGGCGGCGGCGGCGGCGGCGGCCACCCCCAUUCGCACCCCCAGCCACAUCAUCGGCUACAGCUCGCCGGUGGUGAGCACGCGAUCUGCGUCGGUACCGCUGGCCCGCCGGCGGUCACAGCAGGCAUCAACCCCGUAGGCAGCGGCGAGGAUAACGGCAGGCCGAACCUCUGCAGGAUAUGCGGCAAAUCCUACGCUAGGCCGAGCACCCUCAAGACUCACCUGCGCACGCACUCCGGCGAGAAGCCGUUCAGAUGUCACGCGUGCUCGAAAGCAUUUAGCCAGGCGGCGAAUCUGACGGCGCACGCGAGGACACACUCAGGCGAAAAGCCGUUCCGAUGUCCAGUCUGCGACCGGAGAUUCUCGCAGAGCAGCUCAGUCACUACGCAUAUGAGGACGCAUUCGGGCGAACGACCGUACAGGUGUCGAUUUUGCAAGAAGGCGUUCUCCGACAGCUCGACCCUCACCAAGCACCUGCGAAUUCACUCCGGUGAGAAACCGUACCAGUGUAAGCUGUGUCUGCUUAGAUUUAGUCAAAGCGGUAAUCUCAAUAGGCACAUGAGAGUCCACGGCGGUUCCAUGACGUGACACAGUCCGGUACCGGCGCUGGCACAGUCCGGCAGUGUGACCACGACGAUACUCGAUGACAACGGCGGCGCGGCGCGUCACCUGCCCAGGUGCUGUCGAAUACCUGUGAUCCGAUUAGGCAUCAACUCGCCGGAAAAAUAACGCGACGCGUCGAGCACGCAAGCGGACUCGCGGACUCGCGAGCGUCAAAUGGCCGGUGUAAUAAUUCGAUUGUCGUUACACCGUGUGGCACGUCACCGUUGUAAUUCGAUGCGGGUGUAUUCUUUAAAUUUCUCGGAGCAAGACUUCACUCGAGUUGCCGAGUGAGACACGCCCGAGUUCGAACGAUUUUUUAUUCGUGAGUACAAGUGAAUUUUCUAUUCUGGGCCGUCGAAUGAGAGUAUCCUUCACUCGAGAUUCAACAUAGCGAAUCCGAUGGAUUCCGUCGUUUUAUAAAUUCAAUCGAGCCGACAGAGAGGCACGUGUUUCUGCGGAAUUGGAAACCAUUCUAAGCUCGAGUGAAAAAAUUCACUUUCGCACUUUCGCAAAAGGAGAGGUGCUGCUGCUGUACCGACAGAAUGAAAUUUCACUCUACAAUUUUCAUCCUACUCCGUCGUUAAAUUCAUCACUGCUAUUUCAUUCUAUUGAGUUGUUCGGAAAGUAAUUUCGGUUUUUUGCAUGAAAAUGAAAGACGAUAUUUCUAAUAGAAAGAAAAGUUUUAUUCUGUUAAGCAUUGACCAUUUUGUUUUAAUACCUUUUGCCAUCCCUGAGUUAAUAACAUGACAAUUAAAUAUAAGCACAGCUCUCGAAGAUAACAUACACACACACAAAUCAAGAUAAAUUGAUGAAUUAGGCAAAUGAGAGCUAACGCCGGUGACAAAGCGCAAAUAAUAAUAAUACUAAUAACACUAAUAAUAACGCCGGUGACAGGCACAAAUGCAAAGUAUUUAUUGAAAUUAAUCACUUGGUAUUGAGCGUUGCGAGAACACGCCGUGUAUUAUUAUUAUAUCUUGAUCGGAUGUUGAACACUUAGAUGGAAAGUGUGACUUUUUCGUAAUUUUCACACUUGCGGUUUGAAUCUUUGCAUCUAGAUUUAGUGAUUGCUAAAGACAUUGGAUUUUUCUUUGCGACCUUUUAAAUACGACUUUUUUUCGUGAUUUUUAAUAUUAAUGGAGUUACUUACACUGAGGAGGGUAUUAAUUUCAAUAAAUACUUAACGUUUGGGCCUGUCCACCGGCGUUAUUAUUAAUGUUAUUAGUAUUAUUAUUAUUUGCGCUUUGUCACCGGCGUUAGGUCUGAUUUGCUUAAUUUUCAGUUUACCUUGAUUUGUAAUAACAUGACUCCACGCUCAUAAAACUUCUGGUCUUUAUUGGCAAGAAAUUGAAUUAAGUGAUUUUUCACACCUUCAUUUGAAUCGAAAUUUUCACUAUCCAAAGAAUUUUGCAGUGACUGAAACAAGCGAUAAUCGAAUGGUGUUAGAUCAGGUGAAUAUGAUGGAUGCGGUAACAAAUCCCAUCCAAGCGCUAACUGGCUUCUGGCGAGUCAUUAAACUUGUGUGAGGUCUUGUCAUAAUGAAACACAAUACCUUUUCCGCUCGCCAAUUCUGGUCUCUUCUGCUUGAGGGAAUCAUUCAAUUUGUCCAACUGAUGACAAUAUACAUUCGAAUCGAUCGUUUGGUUGUUUGGUAGCAGCUCAAAAAAAAACCAUUCCUUUCCUUUCCAAUCCCACCGAACAGAGAGCAUCACCUUCUUUUGAUAGAUAUCAGCUUUCGGUGUGCUUUGAACUGGUUCGUCACAUCUGCUCCAUGAUCGUUUGCGUUUAAUAUUGUUGUACACAAUUCAUUUUUCAUCUCCAGUUAUGAGUCGCUUCAGUAACGGAUCGUUUUCCUGACGUUUCAACAGUAAAUCGCAGAUGGUAAUGCGACGAAUCAAAUAUCUUUCUAUGAGAACCUGUGGAAUCCAAAUAUCGAGCUUCGAAACGAAACCAUGUUGUUUCAAAUGCUCACGCAUGGUCGAAUUCGAUAAAUUCAAUCUCUCAGCAAUUUCUCAUGUUGUUAAAUGACGAUUUGCGUCCAUCAAUGCUUUAUUUGAUCUUCAUCAGUCUCAACUGGCCACUUCCAGAACGUGGUGCAUCUUCGAGGUCGAAAUUCCCAGAACAAAAUUUCGAAAAUCAAUUCUGACAUUGGCGUUCAGUCAACACAUCCUCUCCAUACACGGCACACAAUUUUUUUCUUGUUUGCGCUGCAAUUUUGCCUUUAUGAUAAUAAAAAAGCAAAAUAUAACGAAAAUGCUCAUAUUACUUUUCCAUUUUUGAUAUGACGCCAAGCAAAAUCAACUUGACAGAUUCCAAAACAACUGUUUUCAAAUGAGGCUUGAAAUGUGUGUUGCAAAAAUGUAAAAUGUUUUUCUGGUUUAGAAUGAGAUUAACUGCUUAAAAAGGCGACUAACACUAUCUAUUUGAAAAAACCGAAAUUAUUUUCCGAACAACCCAAUAAUCGAAGUAGAGCAUUUCACUCGAAUUUGAGUGAUUUUUCACUCAAAUGGAAUGAAUUUUGCACUCUGAAGUCGAAUGAAUAUUUUCUUGAAAUUCAACAGUGAAUCUGAUGUAUUUCAUCGUUUUACAAGAACAAAUUCAGCCCAAUCGAUUGAAACACGCAGUUAGAAUCUAUUAUAAGUUCGAGUGAAACAUUCACUUUUAUACGAAAGUAAAGAAAUGCUGUAUCGAAAAGACGGAGCUCACUCAAAAUGUAAAGUAAGUUAUUCGGAUUCAGGUGAUUUUUCAUUCAUGCAAAAUACUCUAAAUCGUCCAGUGAAUGUCUUCUGAAAAUUGAAUGGCAAAUCUGAUGUAUUCCAUUGUUUUACAGGAACUUUACUUGAAUCGGUCGAAAUGUGCACUCGCGCGAAGUUAGAGUCCACUCUAAGCUGGAGUGACACGAUCAUUUUUACGCGAGAAGAAAAAGAGUGCUGUAGUGUCGACAGAAUCGGUCAAUGACGUCAUAAUGGCAGUAAAUCUUGAUUUAAUGACGAUUAUACUGCUGCUGACGAAUUCUGUUGAUACGAUAGCAUCCUUCUCCCACACACAGUUCCGAGGUCAGUAUUUUCACUACGCUUCGAGUGAAUUUCUAUUUCGUUUUCAUUCUAAGGAAUUUAGAGAGUACCUGGACGCAUUCGUGUCCGGAAGGAGGAAAGAAGAUCAUACGUUCGGAAUCGUCAUAUUUCGAACAACGCGGCUGCGAGAACGAGAACGAGAGUCGACAAACAUUUGUGUAAUUUGAUUGUGUUGUUGUAAUUGGUAUGGUUAUCGCGAUUUAAUUUAUUAUAAUUCUCUUUGGAUGGCUAUGGCUAAGGAAGGAUCUCGCGCUAAGGAGCCGUCAUAUUCUUCCGACGUCGCGAAGAAAUGUGCGGGAGCUGCGCACUUCCGCACGCACCCACGACAUCGAAAUCAGAACUCAGCGAGUUGUACUGUAAAUUAAGACAGAAAUUAUGUGAGACGCAAAUUAUAUUAUAAAUUAUACUGAAAAAAAUAUAUGUAUAUUACACCCCAGAAAGCAACGCGCAUGUUUGACGGACGUCUGCGUGCGCGCGAGACGACUUUCUAAAAAUAUCUAAAAUAUGAUGCAUCUUCAAAAGAGACAUCUCCAAGAUUCUUUUUCAAGAAUUCAUUAUUAAAAUUAUAUUGUUAUUUAUUUUGCUUGAAUUAUUUUCGAGCUUAUCUUGUUCGGAUGUCCAUUUUUUGAUAGAACUUCAUCAUGU
rnacentral:misc_RNA from 1 species